AGAAUCAACGCUGGCGGCGUGCCUCAGACAUGCAAGUCGAACGCGAAAGUCCCCUUCGGGGGACAAGUAGAGUGGCGCACGGGUGAGUAACACGUAGGUAAUCUACCUUUGGAUGGGGAAUAACAACCGGAAACGGUUGCUAAUACCGCAUAAUGCAGCGGCACCUAAUGGUGACAGUUGUUAAAGCGGGGGAUCGAAAGACCUCGCGUCUGAAGAGGAGCCUGCGGCGGAUUAGCUAGUUGGUAAGGUAAUGGCUUACCAAGGCUACGAUCCGUAACCGGCCUGAGAGGGCGUCGGUCACGACUGACACUGACAUACGGGUCAGACUCCUACGGGAGGCAGCUGUCGGGAAUUUUGGGCAAUGGGCGAAAGCCUGACCCAGCAACGCCGCGUGAAGGAUGAAAUCCUCGGAUGUAAACUUCGCAAGAACGGAAGAAUAAGUAAGGGACAAGUACCCCCUAAUAGAUGACGGUACGUUGUAAGCUCCGCUAACUCCGUGCUAGCAGCCGC
rnacentral:rRNA from 1 species